UCCAGGCUGUCACACGCGGCCAGGCAGCGCCGGGCUUCGACCCAAGCACAGCCGACGGCACUGGGCAGAGAGAUGUAUGGCAAGACAAAGAAGAGCCAGUGUCUCCUCAGCCUACUGGACCAUCCUCCUUGCCUAGAGCUCUCUGAAAUCCGGUCACUCCCUGCCUACUGCAGUGCAUUGGAGGAACAUCCAUUGUCAAAGAAGGCAAUGAAGAGACCAAGUGAUGAAGACGAGACCCUAAGUGAAAGCAUUACCAGGUAGAAGAUGACACUCCAGAAACAAAUCAAAGGUGUGACAGGAAGUGGCACUGAGGGAAAGGACCCAGAAGCAAUGCUGAGGACUGGCUGGCUGGCAGUGCUGUAGGGAUAAAGGGGACCUGGAGACCUGAGCAAAGCAAACAGUUCAGUUCUGGGCACAGUCUGAACUAUUUGUAGAACACCAGGGUGGGGAUGUUUUCCAGGCAGCUGACAAAAUACAGAUUCAGAGUACAAGGCAUGGGGCUUGGACUGAAGACACACAUUGAGAAGUAUCCCUGUGGGGCUAGAGGGAUGGCUCAGCAGUUGAG